AUUUAAAUAGCUUAAAUUUUAAAGCAUAAUAUUGAAGAUAUUAAAAUAAUUAAAAAUUUUUAAA
rnacentral:tRNA from 1 species